rnacentral:tRNA from 1 species
GCCAAAAUAGUUCAGUGGCAGAACACCGCUUUCGUAAAGCGGGGACGUGAGUCCGAUUCUCACUUUUGGCUCCA